UAGGGAAUCUUCGGCAAUGGGGGCAACCCUGACCGAGCAACGCCGCGUGAGUGAAGAAGGUUUUCGGAUCGUAAAGCUCUGUUGUAAGAGAAGAACGUGUGUGAGAGUGGAAAGUUCACACAGUGACGGUAACUUACCAGAAAGGGACGGCUAACUACGUGCCAGCAGCCGCGGUAAUACGUAGGUCCCGAGCGUUGUCCGGAUUUAUUGGGCGUAAAGCGAGCGCAGGCGGUUUAAUAAGUCUGAAGUUAAAGGCAGUGGCUUAACCAUUGUUCGCUUUGGAAACUGUUAAACUUGAGUGCAGAAGGGGAGAGUGGAAUUCCAUGUGUAGCGGUGAAAUGCGUAGAUAUAUGGAGGAACACCGGUGGCGAAAGCGGCUCUCUGGUCUGUAACUGACGUUGAGGCUCGAAAGCGUGGGGAGCAAACAGG
rnacentral:rRNA from 1 species